ACGGGAGGCAGCAGUGGGGAAUAUUGGGCAAUGGAGGAAACUCUGACCCAGCGACGCCGCGUGCGGGAUGAAGGCCUUCGGGUUGUAAACCGCUUUCAGUAGGGAAGAAGCGAAAGUGACGGUACCUGCAGAAGAAGCACCGGCUAACUAUGUGCCAGCAGCCGCGGUAAUACAUAGGGUGCAAGCGUUGUCCGGAAUUAUUGGGCGUAAAGAGCUCGUAGGUGGUUCGUUACGUCGGAUGUGAAAAUCAGGGGCUCAACCCCUGACCUGCAUCCGAUACGGGCGAGCUAGAGUUUGGUAGGGGAGACUGGAAUUCCU
rnacentral:rRNA from 1 species